GCCAGUGUGGCGAAAUCGGUAGACGCAGCGGAUUCAAAAUCCGCCGUUGAAUAAACGUGUCGGUUCGAGUCCGACCACUGGCACCAUUA
rnacentral:tRNA from 1 species